UCUAUUAUAAAUAUAUAAGAGUGUAGGAUACAUAUAUAUUACAAUUAAUAAAUGGCAAUAUUUGGUGCGACAUCUUAACAUUUGUAUCUAUAGAAAACACAAUUAUAAAGAAUAUUACACCGUAUCACAUUUGCAUAAAUUCGACGAAAGAAAAAUAUCCUCUUUAAAUGAUAAUACUCCGUACAUUUUUCAUUCUAUCAAUGUAAAAUACAACUUCUGAUCACAAAAGUCUUCAAAUUUUAUUUCCUCUUUGAUCCAAUCAGGAACUUCAGCUGCAACUCAAUCUUUCUUUCGAAUCUGCAAAAUAAAAUUGAAAACUAUGGUUAAUGAUUAAAUGUACAUGAAUACGAUUAUAAAAUAUUAAAGGGAAGAAAAUAACUCACGAAAGCUGUAGGCCAAGCAAUUAAGAUCCAAGCUGAGCAAGUGGUUUAUGUGGAUGGUGAAACGAAGCCUGGUUAGUCUGUUGUAAUGAAGCCACCAAAACCUAGAAGUCUCUAUGAUACUGGCAAUGAGGAAUAUGCAGAGGACAGAGAGCCCUUCCAUGUCUCGCACCUUGCGAAGAUGUUCAAAAAUAAAAGGCAUGACAAACAUUGGGUAAGGACUGACAUUGAAGGAACAAAAGUGGAUGAUAACACCAAUGCUCCGAGCAAUGAAGAAUUGUAAAAGAGCAACCAGGUGUUUUUCAGGUUGUGCCUACCUGACAAAUUUGCAUGUGGAGAUUAGAAGGAUAUUUCUGAACUGGCGCAUGAAGCUAUGGGUUCUAUUAGUGAACUUUCAUAUGUUUGCAUAGUUUUUGCUCUUUGAACCUGAAGCUUGGAAAAAUUCAGAAAAUUGCUACUAAGUUAAGCCUCAUGUAUCACAGAUUUUUGUUGGAACCAGCUAGACUUGUUAAAGAAUUGUUAUGUCUUGCUGAAAUGGACGUCUUAAGUUA